rnacentral:rRNA from 1 species
CAGUCUGCAACUCGACUGCAUGAAGCCGGAAUCGCUAGUAAUCGCGGAUCAGAAUGCCGCGGUGAAUACGUUCCCGGGUCUUGUACACACCGCCCGUCACACCAUGGGAGUCGGAAAUGCCCGAAGCCGGUGGCCUAACCGAUAAGGGAGGAGCCGUCGAAGGCAGGUCUGAUGACUGGGGUGAAGUCGUAACAAGGUACC